UCGCCUCACUCUAUUAAAUCCUGCAAUAGGCUAUGUGGCGUACUGUCAAAUUGAUUUAACACAUCCAGACCUUAUCUGCGAGGGCAAACAACUGAAAGAACAGGGCAACGAGACAAAGUUUGAGUUUGUAAUAUGAGCAAAGUGUUUAUGAGACAGUACACUGUGUUCACAAACAGACAACGGAGAAUGUCUAGACAGUCUGUUUCACACACAGAGACAGGCACAAACCCAGUCAAACGUCCAAAUUGGUACAGUGACUACAGAAAGACCGGGGAAAGACCAGCCUGCAAGCCCGCUACACUGGUAGGAGUGGUCUACUUGGAGUCUGCCAGUUUAACUGUGUUGGUCUGUGCUGGAAUUUUAACUGAUUUGAGGUCAGUUUUCAGGCCUUCUCAGGUGGGCUUUUUGAACUUUGACCUCUGCUGAAACUCAGUAGAGCACCUUGGGAGGCCUGGGAAGGUGGGCAUCGCAGCAGAAGGAUGCUGACAACCCGAAAACAAAGUCCCUAUCCAAACUGAGGAGCCUAACACAGCACACAUACAGUAGGGGUGUAGGGGAGUGCUUUGGCAGAGGAGAGGUCUACUCUUCUACUAUGGUACUGCCGUUUCUGUUGAUUUUCAAAGGGAUGCAAAUACGACCCUGAUUCAUAUAAGUUAGUAAUAACACAAAGGGGUAAUCUAAGUUGGUCUAAUGUGGCAGUGAUAUAACUGAAUUGGGUAGACCAGCACCGAAAGAGGACAUUUUUUUCUUCAGUGCUGAGUUAUAGGUAAGGGACCAGCAGACAACAUGGUCCCUUCAAGAGUAUGGUUCCACUCCUUGCGUUCUAAGCAGACUUCCGCUCCUAUUCAGUGUUAGUGCGGGUUAGCUUCCAGGUCCUCAGUGUGGGCAAGACUGCAUAUUGGAUGCAUCUGCCAAAUCGUAACGGAGAGACGGGAGCAGACUCCGCCCCUUCAAAGACCGCUGAUGAAUGAAAGGAGUUCUGAACGGACUCAGCCGUUGCUCCUUGUGACAUCGGUCACCGCCUGCAAUUGGAGGAGAGGUUUUUAUUGAUGUUUCGAAAACAAAUCAAAGUAAAUUCACAAUUCCAUCUAGUUUAUUUGGUGCUAGAUUAACGUGAGUCAAUACAGUUGAAGUUGUGGAUAGACAGAGUAUAUCAGAGGUCAUAGAGCUGGACCAAGCAGCAACACACAACUAACUGAUUCUUGAUUAGUAGAAUCAGUGUCUUGUACCAAACUGAAUAAAACUGACUGAGAUGGGGACUACCUUGACGUGUCCAAUAAGAAAAGUUUAUUUACAUUUUUAAUUUAAAAACAUUUUGUAACAGUGAGUGUGCCCUACUGAAACAUGCCUGCUUGUUUGGAGCAAAAGCCUGCCCAGCAGGGUUAGGUUCUCCUAAAUUCUCUAAGUUCCAUGGGGUCCCUAUUUUACCUUUGCCGGACGGAGCCGUAGGAGUCCAGGAGCUGAGUGCUGGCCACCUCCAGGUUCCAGUCAUACAUCUCCAGCACCUUGAGACACUCCGUCCUGGUCUUCAGGCCAAGACAGAAAAGCUGCUCAACCUGAGAGCAACAGGAUCAGUUACAACUCACCAUCAGAACUUAUGUAUCCAUCAUCAGAUGUUUCAAUACCGUUUUUAAGCUAGUGCUGUUCUCUUUGCACAACGUCCUAAAGAAAAAUGAAGUCACACAAUCUACAUCUACAACUGCCUGUUUACAAAUCAUUGAGUUUUUUUUGCAUGUGAAUAUUUUUUCACAAGUUUACUAUUUCUCCAAUUGUGGGUCAACUCAUGCUUUUUACACACAACUUCCUAAGGCUCAGAUCUAAUUAUUUACUCUUGACUUGUAGAAGGUUUACUAGGGCUGUGGUAAUCACUGGUAUAAUAGACCCUUUAUACACUAUUGUGCCCACUCAAACUGUGCCGUGAUCAGAUUUUUUGCAUCUGCACGAUCCUUUCCAGUAUGGUUUCAGCAAUUAAGGUGGAUGUGUAACCAGGCCAACAAAGUACAGCUCUAUAGUGUGGCAAGGUAAUAGUGUACUACCGCCAAGGGCCCCUACCUUGAGGUAGUGCACAGCUUUCUGCACGUUCCAGUUGUGGUUCUGGAGGGCUGUCUGACACUCCUCUAUAGUCACGCCAUGGACCGCCUCCUGCAACUG